ACGUAGGGGGCGAGCGUUAUUCGGAAUUACUGGGUGUAAAGGGUAUGUAGGCGGCCCUUCAAGUCGCGUGUCAAAGUCCAGUGCUCAACGCUGGGUGUGCACGCGAUACUGACGGGCUUGAGGGCUGGAGAGGUGAGCGGAAUUCCCGGUGUAGUGGUAAAAUGCGUAGAGAUCUGGAGGAAUACCAGCGGCGCAGGCGGCCCCCUGGACGGUGUCUGACGCUAAGAUGCGAAAGCGUGGGGAGCAAACAG
rnacentral:rRNA from 1 species